ensembl:lncRNA
AUUCAGAAUACGACUUAAUGUGUAUUACCAUUAAAUGUGAAGUUCGAUUUGCUGGUCGUCGUGGUCACACAUUAAAUACUUACUCAGUGUGCGUUCCAACCAAACCCAGACGUCAUUCUUGGAUAUCUCGUAAUUCCUCUGGACUCAAACCUUUCUUGCUCGUGUCGCCCAAGAUGGCGUUGAAAUCGUCUACGGCUUUUCUUCGUGCCUUUCGAUCUCCUCCACAUAUGUAAUAUCUUCCAGGAGAGUUACAGGUGGCCUGAGCAACAGCGUGGAAGAGGCAGUUCUGAUCUUCUGAAUUUACUGGGAUCACGGUUCCAUCUGGUCUCAGGAUUUCAAAAUGACCACUGCACGGGCUCUGUUCACCACGAAUCCAUUUAGUUAUCUUUGAGAAGAACCCCCUCCUCCUGUAAAAAAUACAUGAAUAAACCAAAAAAAACAACAAAUCAGUCACUCUGGACAAAAAAGGGAAAAGGUGAGACUAACAAAUCUCCCUGUAAAUAUAAGUAGUCCAUAACAUUUGUUUAUUACUUUAAAAUUUAUUUAAGAGUUUUGAUUGGGACCAAUAAUUAUGUUGUUGUACAUAAAAUCUGUCAUGUAAGUUGUGUCCACCAGUGAAGCUGUUGGAAUAAUACUGAUGAAGAAGCAUAAGGAAAACGAAUGUUGGAAAUAAUGUAUAUAAUCAGUUUAAACUAUAACAGUAAAGGAAGUCAAUUCAAUUUUGUUUUAUAUAUCACCAAACCACAACACCCAGUGCAUCAUGGGAAUCCCCCAGCAGCCUACACCUAUUGCAGUAAAACUAAGGGAGGAUUCGGGGUCACCUGAUCCAGCCCUAACUAUGUGCUUUAGCAAAAAGGAAGUUUGAAGCCUAAUCUUAAAAGUAGAGAUAGUGUCUGUCUCCCGAAUCCAAAUGUAUGCUAUGUCUUAUAAUGUAAUAUAAUGUAAACAGAAUUGGUCCUAGCACUGAACCCUGUGGAACACCAUAAUUGACCUUAGUGUCUGAAGAGGACUCUUCAUUUACAUGUACAAAUUGGAGUCUAUUAGAUAGAUAUGAUACAAACCACUGCAGUGCAGUACCUGUAAUACCUACAGCAUGUUCUAAUCGCUCUAAUAGGAUAUUAUGGUCAACAGUAUCGAAUGCAGCACUGAGGUCUAGCAGGACAAGCACAGAGAUGAGUCCACUGUCAGAGGCCAUAAGAAGAUCAUUUGUAACCUUCACUAAAGCUGUUUCUGUGCUGUGAUGAGCUCUGAAACCUGACUGAAACUCUUCAAAUAAGCCAUUCCUCUGCAGAUGAUCUGUUAGCUGUUUGACAACUACUCUUUCAAGGAUGUUUGAUAUGAAAGGAAGGUUGGAGAUUGGACUAUAAUUAGCUAAGACAGCUGGGUCUAGAGAUGGCUUUUUGAGUUAAGGUUUAACUACAGCCACCUUGAAGGCCUGUGGUACAUAGCUGAUUAUUAGAGAUAGGUUGAUCAGAUUUAAGAUUGAAGCAUUAAUUAAUGGCAGGACUUCUUUGAGCAGUUUUGUAGGAAUGGGGUCUAAAAGACACGUUGAUGGUUUGGAGGAAGUAAUUAUUGAAGUUAACUCAGAAAGAUCAAUUGGAGAAAAAGAGUCUAAAUGAAUAUCAAUGGUACUGAAAGUAGCUGUAGAUAAUAUUACAUCUGUGGGAUGAUUAUUGGUCAUUUUUUCUUUAAUGAUUAAAAUUUUAUUUGUGAAGAAGUUCAUGAAGUCAUUACUAGUUAACGUUAAAGGGAUGGUUGGCUCAAUAAAGCUCUGACUGUUUGUCAGCCUGGCUACAGUGCUGAAGAGAAACCUGGGGUUGUUCUUAUUUUCUUCAAUCAGUGAUGAAUAGUGAGAUGUUCUGGCUUUGCGGAGGGCUUUCUUAUAAAGCAGCAAACUAUUUCUCCAGGCUAAAUGAGGAUUGUUACACACCAUUUCAAUAUUAACUGAAGUGACAUGCGAUUAAUGUAACCGGGUGUCAUUAUUGACCCUGUACAUGAGAAAAUGCUAACUUCCUGGUUUGAGACCGGAGCUGUGUCCCAAAACGUCGGCUGCAUCCUUCGGAGGACCCGGCCUUCGCGGUCUACGUGGGCCGGGUCCUUCGAAGACCGAGAAGGCCGGAAGUGCGAGGCUGUGAAAUGGGACGGUCUAGCCUUCAGAUUUGCGUCAUGUGGGGAUGUGGGGUUGUACAUUUCCGGUAGCUUUACUUUGCGGUCAAUCACUACUGCGAAGAUAUACUGCAAAAUCAUGUCCAAAACUCGAAAACGGAAAGAUCGCGUUAAGUUACAAAGAGGAGAAGGUGGGAACACUCACCACUGUUGUGUCAUAAAAAAUCUAAUGAUCAAUUUUGACGUUUAAAGAGUUUAGAUCGAUCAAUUGUUUACAUCACUCAACACAAGCAGAACUGCAUUACAGAAUCAGAAGACACAUCGUCCACAUUCAGAAGCACAUCUCUGUAUAGUGACUGGCAGUGUUGGGAAGGUUACUUUUAAAAUGUAUUUGUUGCAGGUUCCAUUUGCUAGGGCAGAAAUACCGUGGUAACUCGCACUUCUCAUGGAGGAAUAAACCACAUACACGUUGUUAGAGUUU